UGCAUAUCAAAUAAGCGGAGGAAAAGAAACCAACAGGGAUUGCCUUAGUAGCGGCGAGUGAAGCGGCAAAAGCUCAAAUUUGAAAUCUGGCACUUUCAGUGUCCGAGUUGUAAUUUGAAGAAGGUAUCUUUGGGUCUGGCUCUUGUCUAUGUUUCUUGGAACAGAACGUCACAGAGGGUGAGAAUCCCGUGCGAUGAGAUGUCCCAGACCUAUGUAAAGUUCCUUCGAAGAGUCGAGUUGUUUGGGAAUGCAGCUCUAAGUGGGUGGUAAAUUCCAUCUAAAGCUAAAUAUUGGCGAGAGACCGAUAGCGAACAAGUACAGUGAUGGAAAGAUGAAAAGAACUUUGAAAAGAGAGUGAAAAAGUACGUGAAAUUGUUGAAAGGGAAGGGCUUGAGAUCAGACUUGGUAUUUUGUAUGUUACUCUCUCGGGGGUGGCCUCUACAGUUUACCGGGCCAGCAUCAGUUUGAGCGGUAGGAUAAGUGCAAAGAAAUGUGGCACUGCUUCGGUAGUGUGUUAUAGUCUUUGUCGAUACUGCCAGCUUAGACUGAGGACUGCGGCUUCGGCCUAGGAUGUUGGCAUAAUGAUCUUAAGUCGCCCGUCUUGAACCACGGACA
rnacentral:rRNA from 1 species